GAAGGCGAACCCCCGGAAAAUCCUCUCCAGCUUCGGACAGGCAAGCCUCCUCCAGCCUGUCACAGCCUCCCUGUCCCUCCAGUCCCUCCACAAACCCUGACGCCGCGAGCGACUCACUUCCCAAGCUUUCUCACUGCAAGUAGCUUUGAUAUAAUACCGAGUCCAGUAACACAGGGAUUGAGAACAAAGUGGCUGGAAGACUGGAUUUUCUCCAUCAGGCUCCUCCUCCCUGCUGAAGAAUAAAACCUGCUGUUUGCUGCAUGAUGGAAGACCUGAUGCUUUACUGUGUGAUGGUGGCAUCCUCGGGCUGAAACCUCUCUAGGAUUUCAGAACUUAUUUCUUAUUUCAAAAGACUGCAUGAAUGAAUGGUGACCAGAUGAUUCUACAAAGCAAAGAUGGCGAAAAAAAGAAAGUAGGCAUUUGUGGUACUAUAACCAGCAAGUGGCCCAUGGUGCUGCUGACUCAGAAGAACAUACUGCAAUGUCACAGCCUCAGUGAAACACAAAACAAGACACAGAAGAUAAAUAAACUCUGCAACAAGUUGCACUCUUUAUCAGGUAUCACCUGGAAUUCAUGCAGCUCCAGACAUAGUAUUAUUCGUGUGAAAGUGAGGCCAAAAGCAAGAGGCAUGUGAAAUCAACUGGAAGGCAAGGGUAAUCAAGAGCAUGAGGCUCGCAUGCUGCCACAUUUAUGUGAUUAAAAAUUUGUACAGUUAACUAAGAACGUUUGGAAUAAAUGGAAGCAUC